AACGAACGCUGGCGGCAGGCCUAAUACAUGCAAGUCGAGCGCGCCCUUCGGGGUGAGCGGCGGACGGGUGAGUAACGCGUGGGAAUAUGCCCUUCUCUAAGGAAUAGCCUCUGGAAACGGAGAGUAAUACCUUAUACGCCCUUUGGGGGAAAGAUUUAUCGGAGAAGGAUUAGCCCGCGUUAGAUUAGGUAGUUGGUGGGGUAAUGGCCUACCAAGCCUACGAUCUAUAGCUGGUUUGAGAGGAUGAUCAGCCACACUGGGACUGAGACACGGCCCAGACUCCUACGGGAGGCAGCAGUAGGGAAUCUUAGACAAUGGGGGCAACCCUGAUCUAGCCAUGCCGCGUGUGUGAUGAAGGCCCUAGGGUCGUAAAGCACUUUCGCCAGAGAUGAUAAUGACAGUAUCUGGUAAAGAAACCCCGGCUAACUCCGUGCCAGCAGCCGCGGUAAUACGGAGGGGGUUAGCGUUGUUCGGAAUUACUGGGCGUAAAGCGCACGUAGGCGGAUUAGUAAGUUAGAGGUGAAAUCCCAGGGCUCAACCCUGGAACUGCCUUUAAUACUGCUAGUCUUGAGUUCGAGAGAGGUAAGUGGAAUUCCGAGUGUAGAGGUAAAAUUCGUA
rnacentral:rRNA from 1 species